UACGGGGGGGGGCAAGCGUUGUUCGGAAUUACUGGGCGUAAAGGGCUCGUAGGCGGCCAACUAAGUCGGAUGUGAAAUCCCCAGGCUUAACCUGGGAACUGCAUCCGAUACUGGAUGGCUUGAAUCCGGGAGAGGGAUGCAGAAUUCCAGGUGUAGCGGUGAAAUGCGUAGAUAUCUGGAGGAAUACCGGUGGCGAAGGCGGCAUCCUGGACCGGCACUGACGCUGAGGAGCGAAAAGCCGGUGGGGA
rnacentral:rRNA from 1 species